rnacentral:lncRNA from 12 species
CAGCAAAUUAAGUAAUGCAUUUGGAAGGGUUGUGUUACCAUAAAGUGCUGUACAGAUGUUAGUACCAUUAUUAUGGGCAUAUUUAUUACCACUUUUCUAUUUAUCCUCGAACAGCCAAAGAUUCAGAAUCAUCAGUCCCCAGUGAAGUGGGGUUAAGAUUGUGACAAGCUUCCUUCUCAAUGGAACAGAGACAUGCCCCAGAGCACAGUACAACUUCUUGAAGAUAGAAUCUACAAAAGCAUCUGUCACAGAUAAGAAGCUGUGGAGACUGCGCAUAACAGGACAAAUAGUACUUCCUGCUCGAGUUUAUGGAGUACUAGCAGGUCAGCUGCACUGUGGAAAUGGUCUCUUAUUAGGGCGGUGGGAGCAGAACCAGGGCACCAGCAAUGACAUGGAAAGGAAGCGAAGGGAGGGAUCAUCUCAGACGUCGCUGUGGAUGGACCAACAGAAUUCAGCAACUGACUUGUUUGGGAGAAGGUGU